CCUACCUUUGGCGGCUCAUGGUUGCAGGGGUCAGCAGGGCGGCUGAGCCCCUUGGAGUGACUCCGAGGGACCCGGUCGCAGCUGUGACCCCUGCAACCAUGGUUGUUCUGUCACUGGGCACACACAAUGGUGACUCCAAAAAGCCCGAUCACAGCUGCUACCCCUGCGACCAUGGUAGUUCCACCACUGGGCACACACAAUGGUGAGCUUGGAAAGGGGCAUAUACAAUGGUGGAAAAGUAAAGGAGCACACAUGAGGUACGCAUAGAAAAACACAAACAGGGGGCAGUGGAGAGUGGCACACAAGGGACAUGAGGAGGCACAUAGAGAU